rnacentral:rRNA from 1 species
GACAGAUGGUGCGAACGUUAUUCAGCUGUAUUGGGCGUAAAGGGUACGUAGGUGGCAAUCAAAAUUUUUUGUCAAAUGCUGGAGUAAUGACUGUAGCGGGACAAUUUUAAAUUUAUUAGCUAGAGUUAAUUUUAGGUGAGGGGAAUUUUUAGUGUAGAGGUAAAAUUCAAGUGUCAUAUUAGAAGGAAUGCCAAUAGCGGAGGCACCUCUCCAGUGUUAACUGACAUCGAGGUACGAAAGUACGGGAAUCAAACAGG